UUUCAUAAACAACCAGGAUGUUGGCUCAGAAGCAGCCACCAUUUAAAGAGUGCGUAAUAGCUCACUGGUCGAGAGACGCUGCGCCGAAAAUGUCCGGGGCUCAAGCACGGAACCGAAGCUAUGGCAUUGCGCAAGCAAUGGGUAGGGGAGCGUUCUUAUGGGGAAGAAGCAUUACCGUAAGGAGAUGUGGACACAUAAGAAGUGAGAAUGCCGGUAUGAGUAUCGAAAAGAAAGGUGAGAAUCCUUUCCACCGAAAGCCCGAGGGUUCCUGAGCAACGAUCGUCGUCUCAGGGUAAGUCGGGACCUAAGCCGAGGCACAGACGCAUAGGCGAUGGACAACAGGUUGAAAUUCCUGUACCGGAUGGAGUCAUUUGAGCAAUGGAGUGACGCAGGAGGGCACAUGAUCGCGCGACUGGAAGAGCGCGUCCAAGUGCGUAUGUUGAAUCGGAGGCAAAUCCCCGAUUCUGAAAGCAGAGACAUGAUGGGGAGUUAUAAGCGAUUAUGACGAACUCAUGGAUCCCACACUGCCAAGAAAAACUUCUAGCGAGACGAAAUCCGCCCGUACCGUAAACCGACACAGGUAGGCGGGGAGAGAAUCCUAAGGUGCGCGGGAAAACCCUCGUUAAGGAACUCGGCAAAUUGCAUCCGUAACUUCGGGAGAAGGAUGGCCCUGAGUAGGCGAAGUGCAGAAACGCACGGAACAGAAAAGGGUGGCAGAAAAGAGGCCCAAGCAACUGUUUACCAAAAACACAGGUGCCUGCGAAAGCGAAAGCUGAAGUAUAGGUGCUGACGCCUGCCCGGUGCUGGAAGGUUAAGGAGAGAGGUUAGCGCAAGCGAAGCUUUGAACUGAAGCCCCAGUGAACGGCGGCCGUAACUAUAACGGUCCUAAGGUAGCGAAAUUCCUUGUCGGGUAAGUUCCGACCCGCAUGAAAGGCGUAAUGAUUUGGGCGCUGUCUCAACGAGGGGCCCGGUGAAAUUGAAAUACCUGUGAAGAUGCAGGUUACCCGCGACUGGACAGAAAGACCCCAUGGAGCUUUACUGCAGCUUGAGAUUGAAUCCCGGUGGCAGACGCACAGGAUAGGUGGGAGGCUUUGAGAUAGUGACUUUGGUUGCUAUGGAGCCGACGUUGGGAUACCACCCUUCUGUUGCUGGGAUUCUAACGCGAAGAUUAACAACCUUGCGGACCAUCUCAGGUAGGCGGUUUGACUGGGGCGGUCGCCUCCGAAAGAGUAACGGAGGCGCCCAAAGGUUCCCUCAGGCCGGACAGAAACCGGCCGAAGAGUGCAAAGGCAGAAGGGAGCUUGACUGCGAGACAGACAAGUCGAGCAGAGACGAAAGUCGGGCUUAGUGAUCCGGUGGUACUGCGUGGAAAGGCCAUCGCUCAACGGAUAAAAGCUACCCUGGGGAUAACAGGCUAAUCUCUCCCAAGAGUUCAUAUCGACGGGGAGGUUUGGCACCUCGAUGUCGGCUCAUCACAUCCUGGAGCUGGAGUAGGUUCCAAGGGUUGGGCUGUUCGCCCAUUAAAGUGGUACGCGAGCUGGGUUCAAAACGUCGUGAGACAGUUUGGUUCAUAUCCAUCGCGGGCGCAAGAAGUUUGAGGGAGGCUGCUCCUAGUACGAGAGGACCGGAGUGGACGGAUCAACGGUGUACCAGUUGUCACGCCAGUGGCACGGCUGGAAAGCCGCAUCCGGAAAGGAUAAACGCUGAAAGCAUCUAAGCGUGAAGCCCGUCCCAAGAUGAGACUUCUCAUCAGCAAUGAGUAAGACCCCUUAAAGACGAUGAGGUUGAUAGGCUGUGAGUGGAAGAGCCGCGAGGCUUGGAGCGACGCAGUACUAAUAGGUCGAGGUCUUAACUUA
rnacentral:rRNA from 1 species